AGCGCGUUGACAGAAUGGUUAUGUAGUGGAUUGCAAAUCCAUUUUAUUCUGGUUCGAUUCCAGAACGCGCUU
rnacentral:tRNA from 1 species